rnacentral:lncRNA from 1 species
GAAGGUAACUCGUAGACGGCGCCAGGUGUCCAAUUACUGGGUAGAUCCCGUCGAUUGGCAGAUUCAUCGUCAAUUUUGUUAACCUGAUCGUUUUUCCUGGCGUAUAGUUUACGGAGACUUGACAUGACUUCUUAAGGAGUUGACCCAUGUAAAUAUGCCAUCUGAAUUGUUGCUGGUUUCAAAGGAAUAUUCGCUUGGCAAUUUGAAAGUAGCAUUGGAAUAACUGUUCUUCUAUAAUUGAUGUAUGUAAGUUAACAUCUUUUGUUCUCGUUUAGAGGGGCUGAUGUCAGUCAUUAUGAAGCAUUACCUCUUUUAGUAGCAAAACCUUCGUUGUUGUGUUUUGUUGUUGUAUACUAUCAGUAUAGGAGUAACUUUAUUAUCGUUGAUGAAUACUAGUGUAUUGAAAUUAAUUUCUGCCUGAUCCUAGUCAACAGUAUAUCGUCUCUUCCUCACGACUUCUCUUACAGUCUUACAGAAUCGUGUCUGGAAUCCUAAGAUUGGAAGAGCCAGACAUCGAAAGUCCACGAUUCUAUGCAUGUCAUCAUCGACCCAAUGCUUCAUAAGGACUAAAAAGCUCGGUGGCUCCUCCAAGUCUGCCAUUUACUCAAUACUUUAACCAUUUUGCAAGAGCCAAAAAAGUGAUAUUGGCAUUCGGCUGACGGUGUACCAUGUUUUUUUCAGUUCCUCGGGUUGGCACGCGCUGUUGGAACACCAAGAGAUUCUCCAGGAUACGACAAGGACGCGUCGAAGGGACAGGGACAACGGAGAAAGCGAGCGUCGUAAGGAAGGAAGGAGGAAAGAUAGUAGGCAACGAAGAGGAAAAGAAGAGACAAAGAUGCAGCUAGGAAGGAGCAACAGAGAGAGCUAAACCAAGAGGGAGAGGGAAAGAGCGUACAAUGUGCAGAAUGGGAAGAGAGCAAGAGAAAGGAGAGGGAGAGGCAAUCUCACUCUCAGUGACACGUAAACUGGACUGCAGAAGCAAACAUAGCCUCGUCGUUGGCGAUGUCCCGCAGGCUCACUGCAAGUGGUUGCAAAUGUUCGUCGUAAUGACGCUGCCGUUUUUCUGGAGUAUAUCCACUUGAUGCCCUCGCCUUGCCCAAGAAACACGGUAAUGGUUCUUGGCUGAUCGUUAACCGACUGGUUCACUUGGAAAUGCGAUGUUAAUUGGUUAUUAAUCGACCAUUAACCAGAUGGCCUCGAUAAAACCGGAACAUUUUGCUUCGUAUAUCGGCAAACUAUUCUAUUGAAUCUUUUAUUGCAUCGAACAGACGCAUACGUACGAAUUCAUUAACGUGAGAUGGUGUAAAAUUACUGGUUAAUUAUAAAUUGCUCAUUAAUCGAUAAGAAAUACCGAAAACAGGAUACAGCAGUUCUUUUGUUCCUACGUUUCUCUCGAAUCUA